UCUUACUUAAGUGGAAAACGAUGUGAAGUUACUUAAACAACCAGGAGGUUGGCUUAGAAGCAGCCAUCCUUUAAAGAAAGCGUAAUAGCUCACUGGUCUAGUGAUUUUGCGCGGAAAAUAUAACGGGGCUAAAGUAAGUACCGAAGCUGUAGACUUGCACACAACUUAGAUUAUUUAAGUUUAGAAUAUGAGAAACUAAGUUAUAUGUUUAGUUAUAUUUUUACUGAUUUUUAUAGAGUAAAGAUAGAAAUAAAACUUAGUAAAAUCAGUAAAAAUAUUCUUAGGCUAAAGUUAAGUAGUUUAAGUUGUGUGCAAGUGGUAGGAGAGCGUUCUAUUUGCGUCGAAGGUAUACCGGUAAGGAGUGCUGGAGCGAAUAGAAGUGAGCAUGCAGGCAUGAGUAGCGAUAAUUAAUGUGAGAAUCAUUAACGCCGUAAACCCAAGGUUUCCUACGCGAUGCUCGUCAUCGUAGGGUUAGUCGGGUCCUAAGUCGAGUCCGAAAGGGGUAGACGAUGGCAAAUUGGUUAAUAUUCCAAUACCAACAUUAGUGUGCGAUGGAAGGACGCUUAGGGCUAAGGGGGCUAGCGGAUGGAAGUGCUAGUCUAAGGUUGUAGGAGGUUAUACAGGCAAAUCCGUAUAACAAUACUCCGAGAACUGAAAGGCUUUUUGAAGUCUUCGGAUGGAUAGAAGAACCCCUGAUGCCGUCGAGCCAAGAAAAGUUUCUAAGUUUAGCUAAUGUUGCCCGUACCGUAAACCGACACAGGUGGGUGGGAUGAGUAUUCUAAGGCGCGUGGAAGAACUCUCUUUAAGGAACUCUGCAAAAUAGCACCGUAUCUUCGGUAUAAGGUGUGGUUAGCUUCGUACUAGGAUUUACUCCGAAAGCGAAGAAACUUACAACAAAGAGUCCCUCCCGACUGUUUACCAAAAACACAGCACUCUGCUAACUCGUAAGAGGAUGUAUAGGGUGUGACGCCUGCCCGGUGCUCGAAGGUUAAUUGAUGGGGUUAGCAUUAGCGAAGCUCUUGAUCGAAGCCCGAGUAAACGGCGGCCGUAACUAUAACGGUCCUAAGGUAGCGAAAUUCCUUGUCGGUUAAAUACCGACCUGCAUGAAUGGCGUAACGAGAUGGGAGCUGUCUCAAAGAGGGAUCCAGUGAAAUUGUAGUGGAGGUGAAAAUUCCUCCUACCCGCGGCAAGACGGAAAGACCCCGUGGACCUUUACUACAGCUUGACACUGCUACUUGGAUAAGAAUGUGCAGGAUAGGUGGGAGGCUUUGAGUAUAUGACGCCAGUUGUAUAUGAGCCAUUGUUGAGAUACCACUCUUUCUUAUUUGGGUAGCUAACCAGCUUGAGUUAUCCUCAAGUGGGACAAUGUCUGGUGGGUAGUUUGACUGGGGCGGUCGCCUCCCAAAUAAUAACGGAGGCUUACAAAGGUUGGCUCAGAACGGUUGGAAAUCGUUCGUAGAGUAUAAAGGUAUAAGCCAGCUUAACUGCAAGACAUACAAGUCAAGCAGAGACGAAAGUCGGUCUUAGUGAUCCGGUGGUUCUGUGUGGAAGGGCCAUCGCUCAAAGGAUAAAAGGUACCCCGGGGAUAACAGGCUGAUCUCCCCCAAGAGCUCACAUCGACGGGGAGGUUUGGCACCUCGAUGUCGGCUCAUCGCAUCCUGGGGCUGGAGCAGGUCCCAAGGGUAUGGCUGUUCGCCAUUUAAAGCGGUACGCGAGCUGGGUUCAGAACGUCGUGAGACAGUUCGGUCCCUAUCUGCCGUGGGCGUAAGAAGAUUGAAGAGAUUUGACCCUAGUACGAGAGGACCGGGUUGAACAAACCACUGGUGUAGCUGUUGUUCUGCCAAGAGCAUCGCAGCGUAGCUAAGUUUGGAAAGGAUAAACGCUGAAAGCAUCUAAGCGUGAAGCCAACUCUAAGAUGAAUCUUCUCUAAGCUCUCUAGAAGACUACUAGUUUGAUAGGCUGGGUGUGUAAUGGAUGAAAGUCCUUUAGCUGACCAGUACUAAUAGAGCGUUUGGCUUAUCUUUAAUAAAGCAU
rnacentral:rRNA from 1 species